UUUGGGCACGUUUUCAUGAUCCUCAAACCCUUCUGACUAUUUCAGGUACAUUUUUAGCAUUUUUGAGCAUUCCAGUCUGGAGAAAAUUGACCUUAUAUCAGGUAUGUGCCUGUUAUUAAGUGUGCUUGCUGAAAGCAGCACUUAUUGUUCUUAAGUUUUCUUGUGUGCUUUCUGAAAGCCAUAUU